CAUGUGUUAACUCACAAACACGCCAUGCAGUAGAUACCAUUACUAUCCCCAUUUUCAAGAUGAGGAGACUGAGGCACAGAGAGGUUUAAGUAUCCUGCCCAAGGAGUUGCAGAAGCAAUGACAUCUGAUGGCUUCUUCCUCAAGGAAAACACUGGACAGGCUGGAAGAGGAGAGAGAAGGGCAUGUCCUGACCUCGCUGUUCCCACAGGGGUCCACGUGAGCGGACUGCGAAGCAGUUCCCAGUUAUUGGGGCUACCCCGACCAUCCAGCAAUAAACAUAAAACCUUGAAACUUCAGUUCUUUGCAUCGCUGGGCCAAGACGUUCCUCGAGCAGGAUUCUGUGCACACACUGCUAGUUACAAGACGUCACGAUCUUCAAAACAUCUGGGGGGGGGGGGGCGUUGCAAAUGAGGCUUCUACGAGCUGCCAGGCAGUGGCCUCCUAACCCGGCGGACGCUCCUCGGAACGCUUAACAAGUUGUUUCACUGGACAGGGGCUGGGUAAAUGCUUGUUGAGAAAAUCAAAAAUAAAUAAACGUGUUCGA